rnacentral:rRNA from 1 species
GGACUAGCCCUUAAGCUUUACACGCGUUAGACGAACGGUCUGGAAAGUCCGACGAUACAGGGUGAUAGUCCCGUAGUUGACGACGUGUGUUCAGUGAAAUCGAGUAGGGCGGGACACGUGAUAUCCUGUCUGAAUAUGGGGGGACCAUCCUCCAAGGCUAAAUACUACUGACUGACCGAUAGUGAACCAGUACCGUGAGGGAAAGGCGAAAAGAACCCCUGUGAGGGGAGUGAAAUAGAACCUGAAACCGUGUACGUACAAGCAGUAGGAGCACCUUCGUGGUGUGACUGCGUACCUUUUGUAUAAUGGGUCAGCGACUUAUAUUCAGUGGCAAGGUUAACCAUCUAGGGGAGCCGUAGGGAAACCGAGUCUUAACUGGGCGUUCAGUCUCUGGAUAUAGACCCGAAACCAGGUGAUCUAGCCAUGGGCAGGUUGAAGGUUGAGUAACAUCAACUGGAGGACCGAACCGACUAAUGUUGAAAAAUUAGCGGAUGACUUGUGGCUAGGGGUGAAAGGCCAAUCAAACCUGGAGAUAGCUGGUUCUCCCCGAAAGCUAUUUAGGUAGCGCCUCGGACGAAUACUACUGGGGGUAGAGCACUGUUAAGGCUAGGGGGUCAUCCCGACUUACCAACCCUUUGCAAACUCCGAAUACCAGUAAGUACUAUCCGGGAGACACACGGCGGGUGCUAACGUCCGUCGUGGAGAGGGAAACAACCCAGACCGCCAGCUAAGGUCCCAAAUUACUACUAAGUGGGAAACGAUGUGGGAAGGCUCAGACAGCCAGGAUGUUGGCUUAGAAGCAGCCAUCAUUUAAAGAAAGCGUAAUAGCUCACUGGUCGAGUCGGCCUGCGCGGAAGAUGUAACGGGGCUAAGUAGUAAACCGAAGCUGCGGCAAUAUACUUUUGUAUAUUGGGUAGGGGAGCGUUCUGUAAGCGGUUGAAGGUGUGUGGUAACGCAUGCUGGACGUAUCAGAAGUGCGAAUGCUGACAUGAGUAACGAUAAAGGGGGUGAAAAACCUCCUCGCCGGAAGACCAAGGGUUCCUGUCCAACGUUAAUCGGGGCAGGGUAAGUCGACCCCUAAGGCGAGGCCGAAAGGCGUAGUCGAUGGGAAACGGGUUAAUAUUCCCGUACUUCUUACAAUUGCGAUGGGGGGACGGAGAAGGCUAGGUGGGCCUGGCGACGGUUGUCCAGGUUCAAGUGCGUAGGCUUAAGAGUUAGGUAAAUCCGGCUCUUUUUAAGGCUGAGACACGACGUCGAGCACCUACGGGUGUGAAGUCAUUGAUGCCAUGCUUCCAGGAAAAGCCUCUAAGCUUCAGAUUGUAAGGAAUCGUACCCCAAACCGACACAGGUGGUCGGGUAGAGAAUACCAAGGCGCUUGAGAGAACUCGGGUGAAGGAACUAGGCAAAAUGGUACCGUAACUUCGGGAGAAGGUACGCUCUUGAUGGUGAAGUCCCUUGCGGAUGGAGCUGACGAGAGUCGCAGAUACCAGGUGGCUGCAACUGUUUAUUAAAAACACAGCACUGUGCAAAAUCGUAAGAUGACGUAUACGGUGUGACGCCUGCCCGGUGCCGGAAGGUUAAUUGAUGGGGUUAGACUUCGGUCGAAGCUCUUGAUCGAAGCCCCGGUAAACGGCGGCCGUAACUAUAACGGUCCUAAGGUAGCGAAAUUCCUUGUCGGGUAAGUUCCGACCUGCACGAAUGGCGUAAUGAUGGCCACGCUGUCUCCACCCGAGACUCAGUGAAAUUGAAAUCGCUGUGAAGAUGCAGUGUACCCGCGGCUAGACGGAAAGACCCCGUGAACCUUUACUACAGCUUGGCACUGAACAUUGACCCUACAUGUGUAGGAUAGGUGGGAGGCUUUGAAGCACGUACGCCAGUAUGUGUGGAGCCGUCCUUGAAAUACCACCCUUGUAGUGUUGAUGUUCUAACGUCGACCCCUUAUCGGGGUUGCGGACAGUGCCUGGUGGGUAGUUUGACUGGGGCGGUCUCCUCCCAAAGAGUAACGGAGGAGCACGAAGGUGGGCUAAUCACGGUUGGACAUCGUGAGGUUAGUGCAAUGGCAUAAGCCCGCUUGACUGCGAGAAUGACAAUUCGAGCAGGUGCGAAAGCAGGUCAUAGUGAUCCGGUGGUUCUGAAUGGAAGGGCCAUCGCUCAACGGAUAAAAGGUACUCCGGGGAUAACAGGCUGAUACCGCCCAAGAGUUCAUAUCGACGGCGGUGUUUGGCACCUCGAUGUCGGCUCAUCACAUCCUGGGGCUGAAGUCGGUCCCAAGGGUAUGGCUGUUCGCCAUUUAAAGUGGUACGCGAGCUGGGUUUAGAACGUCGUGAGACAGUUCGGUCCCUAUCUGCCGUGGGCGUUGGAAGAUUGAAGGGGGCUGCUCCUAGUACGAGAGGACCGGAGUGGACGAACCUCUGGUGUUCGGGUUGUGUCGCCAGACGCAUUGCCCGGUAGCUAAGUUCGGAAUCGAUAACCGCUGAAAGCAUCUAAGCGGGAAGCGAGCCCUGAGAUGAGUCUUCCCUGAUACUUUAAGUAUCCUAAAGGGUUGUCGGAGACUACGACGUUGAUAGGUCAGGUGUGUAAGUGCUGUGAGGCAUUGAGCUAACUGAUACUAAUUGCCCGUGAGGCUUAACCA